ACAAAAUUUGGUCAAGGAGUCCCCAAGGAGAAAUUAUAGCUGCUUGCCUUUUCAAAUCCUGCAACUGAGUCUGCUGACCUAAAUAAAAGUGCUUAUCUUACCAUAGUGAAAUGCCACUAAAAGGGUUACUAAAAAGAGGAAGUCAAACAUAACAAUAUUGCAAAAAGCUAAUAAAAGGGUCACGCCUUUUCAGAGACUUUUAAAGCUGAGCUAGAUUUUUUUUCCACUCUACUUUUUCAGAAAUUGAUAUCAACUUUCAGAACCUACGUAGUUCAUACCAGGUAUUAUUGUUUUCUCAUCAUGAUGAUAGAAGUGAAAGCUAUUCUAUUCGCUGAAUAUCCCAAAGAAUCACCAUCAUAAAUUGAUCCAGAAAAAUAUACAUUUCUAUACUGAAACUAAAAAUCAUUUACCCAAUUUGCUCGUUGACUGAUAAGACGAAGAAAGAGGAAGCUUGGUAAUUGAAAGAGGAGGCUUGUGAAUUGUCAGUUGGAAGAUUCAGAGGCAUACAAAAAUUGAAUGAACUUUAACUCUGGUAUUCUUCCUUCUACCCCUAUGAAAUAUGUAAUGAAGCAGAUUCAAAGGAGACAGCUAAAGAAGGAGUAACAUCAAGAAGAUGGAAUAGCAAAGCCAGCAAGUUCAGGAGUUGGCAGUACUAUAGAGUUCUGUUGGAGAUUGGCUUCAGCAGGUGUCCAAAAUAACAAUUCAAAGCAUUGACCCUGAUUAGCAUCCAAGAUUUCUUCCAAAACAUUGUUUACAUUCUUUUCUAGA